ACAGAGGUCUCAAGCGUUGUUCGGAUUCAUUGGGCGUAAAGGGUGCGUAGGCGGCGUGGAAAGUUGAGUGUGAAAUCCUAGGGCUUAACCUUAGAACUGCACUCAAUACUCCCAUGCUAGAGGAAUGUAGAGGAGAGUGGAAUUCACGGUGUAGCAGUGAAAUGCGUAGAUAUCGUGAGGAAGACCAGUUGCGAAGGCGACUCUCUGGGCAUCUCCUGACGCUGAGGCACGAAGGCUAGGGGAGCAAACGGG
rnacentral:rRNA from 1 species